rnacentral:misc_RNA from 1 species
AGACAGAACACUCCAUUCAUAAAACUCAAUUUUUUAGAAUCAUACAUGGUUUGGCACUUUUAUGAGAGUUAAAAAGAGAUGGGUACAUAAAUAUGACAACACGGUUGAGUUUCGUCUGUCUUUCUGUCAUUUCACUCCAUCAGUGGCGUGACGGUGGUGUGGUGUUUUUUUAUCAAAAAUUUUAAAAUAGUUAUUUUGUGUAUUUUAAUUUAAAUUUUAAUUUGUAAUAUACGUAGUAAUAUCGAUAAUAUACAAUGUAGGGGCGUUUGCACCAAGUUUUUUAAGCAAAACUUAACACUAUGUUUAGCUUAUUUUCUUGCACUAUGCUUUAAUCUAACUUGAAUUUAUAUUUAAAUUAAGCGGUCAAAUUUCCAGGCUAGUGGUCACUUAACCUAUCUUAGACACAAAAAUAUUGUUUUACGAGGAAGAAUUAUUGUUAUUCCUUUGAGAAAGCUAAAAAAUGUAUUAUGAUACCUCUACGUAAGUUCGAUGAUUACUUUUGAUAUCCUAGACGUCGAUCAGUAGGUAUAUUCAUUGAAAAUGGAUUUCCUCAAGAAUGGAUGUAAGGAAAAAUCAUAUUGCCAAGAAAUGAACCUCCUUAAGUUUUUAGGACAGAGACUUUUAAACGACACUGUAAUAUAUAUCAUUAUUAAUUACCUCGGUUUAAUUGAACAAAAUCUAGAAUAUCAAAAUGAGAGGUAAGUUGGAAUGCUAGUAAAUCUAAUAAACAACAGCAUAACUGCCAUAAAUCAACAACAAUUUUAUAGUAUAUUUGGGUUUCCUGGGAUUAUAGGGAUAGUUGAUGGAACACAAUGUAAGAAAACAUUCACCUGGGGGUAUUGAUGGAGAGGUAUUUA